CCAAGCCCUGCUGAAAUAUGCUAUCAACCAGUUCAGCCUGGAAUAUCCAAGAUACCGACGAUAUGCACUCUAUCCAGUUCAGUUGCUGCUUUUAUAAUAUCACCUAAAAGUAAAAAGCAGAUGAAGCCAUUUUUUCCUGCUUAGGCAGCAACAAGAUGGAAGCAGACUGGAUUCGUGAAUUGCUGUUGGGAAGAGAGCUGAUGACUGAUUGCAUCAGACUUGAGCAAGAAAUAAACUUCUUGAGUUAAAGUGUC
rnacentral:lncRNA from 10 species